rnacentral:rRNA from 1 species
UCUUAACAGGAUUUUGAUACCCUGGUAGUCCACGCCGUAAACGAUGAGUGCUAAGUGUUAGGGGGUUUCCGCCCCUUAGUGCUGCAGCUAACGCAAUUAAGCACUCCGCCUGGGGAGUACGGUCGCAAGACUGAAACUCAAAGGAAUUGACGGGGGCCCGCACAAGCGGUGGAGCAUGUGGUUUAAUUCGAAGCAACGCGAAGAACCUUACCAGGUCUUGACAUCCUCUGACAAUCCUAGAGAUAGGACGUCCCCUUCGGGGGCAGAGUGACAGGUGGUGCAUGGUUGUCGUCAGCUCGUGUCGUGAGAUGUUGGGUUAAGUCCCGCAACGAGCGCAACCCUUGAUCUUAGUUGCCAGCAUUCAGUUGGGCACUCUAAGGUGACUGCCGGUGACAAACCGGAGGAAGGUGGGGAUGACGUCAAAUCAUCAUGCCCCUUAUGACCUGGGCUACACACGUGCUACAAUGGGCAGAACAAAGGGCAGCGAAACCGCGAGGUUAAGCCAAUCCCACAAAUCUGUUCUCAGUUCGGAUCGCAGUCUGCAACUCGACUGCGUGAAGCUGGAAUCGCUAGUAAUCGCGGAUCAAGCAUGCCGCGGUGAAUACGUUCCCGGGCCUUGUACACACCGCCCGUCACACCACGAGAGUUUGUAACACCCGAAGUCGGUGAGGUAACCUUUUAGGGAGCCAGCCGCCGAAGUGGACAGAAGG